rnacentral:rRNA from 1 species
GUGGGUAGUUUGACUGGGGCGGUCUCCUCCUAAAGAGUAACGGAGGAGCACGAAGGUUAGCUAAUCCUGGUCGGACAUCAGGAGGUUAGUGCAAAGGCAUAAGCUAGCUUGACUGCGAGAGUGACGGCUCGAGCAGGUGCGAAAGCAGGUCUUAGUGAUCCGGUGGUUCUGAAUGGAAGGGCCAUCGCUCAACGGAUAAAAGGUACUCCGGGGAUAACAGGCUGAUACCGCCCAAGAGUUCAUAUCGACGGCGGUGUUUGGCACCUCGAUGUCGGCUCAUCACAUCCUGGGGCUGAAGUAGGUCCCAAGGGUAUGGCUGUUCGCCAUUUAAAGUGGUACGCGAGCUGGGUUUAGAACGUCGUGAGACAGUUCGGUCCCUAUCUGCCGUGGGCGCUGGAGAAUUGAGGGGGGCUGCUCCUAGUACGAGAGGACCGGAGUGGACGCAUCACUGGUGUUCGGGUUGUCAUGCCAAUGGCAUUGCCCGGUAGCUAAAUGCGGAAGAGAUAAGUGCUGAAAGCAUCUAAGCACGAAACUUGCCCCGAGAUGAGUUCUCCCUGAGACUUAAAGUCUCCUGAAGGAACGUUAAAGACGAUGACGUUGAUAGGUCGGGUGUGUAAGUGUAGCGAUACAUUGAGCUAACCGAU